GACGAACGCUGGCGGCGUGCUUAACACAUGCAAGUCGAACGAUGAAGCCGCUUCGGUGGUGGAUUAGUGGCGAACGGGGUGAGUAACACGUGGGCAACCUGCCCUCAGCUUUGGGAUAACUCCGGGAAACCGGGGCUAAUACCGGAUACGACCAUUCCCCGCAUGGGGUGGUGGUGGAAAGUUUUUCGGCUGGGGAUGGGCCCGCGGCCUAUCAGCUUGUUGGUGGGGUGAUGGCCUACCAAGGCGUCGACGGGUAGCCGGCCUGAGAGGGCGACCGGCCACACUGGGACUGAGACACGGCCCAGACUCCUACGGGAGGCAGCAGUGGGGAAUAUUGCGCAAUGGGCGAAAGCCUGACGCAGCGACGCCGCGUGAGGGAUGACGGCCUUCGGGUUGUAAACCUCUUUCAGCUCCGACGAAUUCAGACGGUAGGAGCAGAAGAAGCACCGGCCAACUACGUG
rnacentral:rRNA from 1 species